rnacentral:lncRNA from 1 species
UCAGAGAAGUCGCUAGUCAGAGGAAUCACCAGUCAGAGAAGUCGCUAGCAAGAGAAAUCGCCGUUCCUCUGGCGAUAGCAGAGAAUUCACCGUUCCUCUGGCGAAUGCCAGAGCGGAAGCCAUUCCGCUGGCGAGAGUCCCGAAUUCGGCCAAAGUUGGAGUGUUCCCAGAGCGCGCGUCACAGCUGGAAAGUUGCCUUAUCAUGCACGAUUCUAUUGCCUUUCGAGUUCUACUUUGCAU